GUACCGCAGCUGGACCGCGGAGGCGUGGCGGCCCGGGCCGCUUCCCAGGUGCUGGAGGUGACCGCUGGCUGCAGGUAGCUCGGACCACCCUCUCAGCCCAGGUCCGGCUUCCCCCUUUCCCGUCUCCCACUUCCCGUGGCCCCAGCUGGAAUUCUGACCCGGGGUUCUGCCGCUCACCCCCUCUGGCUGCAGAAGGAAGAUGACUCAUUCCGCUGCUGAUCUGGGAAAGAAGCCCAGGAGGUCUAGCUCCCAGCCUGACCCCUUUCUCUGCUAGCCCAGGACCCUGGCCUCUCCCACCUCCCCCAUCCCUCCUCUUGUGACUGCGCCGGCUGGCUGGCCCCAGAGCCACAUCUGGCAGGCAGGUGUUGAGCCUAGGACCGGGUGAGGAACUUGGAGGGAUAGGGGGUGUGGGCAGGAUCUCGGGGCAACCACGGUGGGGAACGCCAUUCUGUCUUCUCCUGGACAAAGAUGAAGAAGAGAUGGAAGAAGAUACGCUCCUUCCUAAGUGGCCCGCUUAGUUAAGACUCCUGGGAAAACUGAGGUCCUUGUCCUCAUCCCCCGUUUUCAGGCCAAUUAAGCGCUAGAACCUUCAAAUCCCAAUCCCCCCUCACCCAAACACUGAGCUAGCUGCUGGGCCAAGGUGGCCCCCUUCCUCUUCAGGCUCAAUGACAGACAGAGAUAAACGGCUGCAGCUGGAGACCAAGUUAAUUGAUGCAAUAAGUUCUGUAAUUGCCUUGAAAAUAAGGUUCCUCAAGUGUCAUACAGGCAUCCAAGGAAACAAUGACUGUAUUAAAUCCUGGAUAGCUCUUAUUGUAUCUCUCAGAAAAUGAAGAAGACCUAAAGGACUCUCAAGAAUCCAUAAACAAUGCAAAACCAACAAAUUAAUCAUUCAGCAAACGUUUAUGAAGCACCUAAUAUAUACUAGGCUCUCAGACAACAAAAACAAUAGCAAAACAAUCCUUCCUCACAAGAAGCUAGCAUCUGUGAUAUAAGUAUAUACAGAAUAAAUAAAUGCAAUGUGGUUGGGUUUUUUUUCUC
rnacentral:lncRNA from 1 species